GUCCACGCCGUAAACGAUGGAUGCUAGCCGUCAGCAAGCUUGCUUGUUGGUGGCGCAGCUAACGCAUUAAGCAUCCCGCCUGGGGAGUACGGCCGCAAGGUUAAACUCAAAGGAAUUGACGGGGCCCGCACAAGCGGUGGAGCAUGUGGUUUAAUUCGACGCAACUCGCAGAACCUUACCAACCCUUGACAUGUCCGGUCGGUUUCCAGAGAUGGAUUCCUCCCAGCAAUGGGCCGGAACACAGGUGCUGCAUGGCUGUCGU
rnacentral:rRNA from 1 species